rnacentral:rRNA from 1 species
AUGAGUGCGCUGAAUAAAUCGAUUCAGAAUUUUGUGGCGGAACCAACAAAAGGUGUGACGAGUGCUCUAAAGAAAUUGAUUCGGAAAUUUGUGAAGGAACCAACAAAAAGUGUGAUCAGGUCUGAGCUGGGACCAAAUUUUGACUCCAUCGGCGAGGCACACGACUUCUACAAUUUAUACUCGUGGGAAGUGGGAUUCGGGAUAAGAUAUGGUAAAAGCAGAUUGAACACGGAGAGAACAAAAUCAACGCAGAAAAUUGUGUGCGGAUUCUCGGGAAGCCUGAAGCUGGUAACAACCAGUCUUGCAGAUGUGAGCGCCUGA